GUGUGCCUAAUACAUGCAAGUCGAACGCGUUGGCCCAAUUGAUCUGAUGGUGCUUGCACCUGAUUGAUUUUGGUCGCCAACGAGUGGCGGACGGGUGAGUAACACGUAGGUAACCUGCCCAGAAGCGGGGGACAACAUUUGGAAACAGAUGCUAAUACCGCAUAACACCGUUGUUCGCAUGAACAACGCUUAAAAGAUGGCUUCUCGCUAUCACUUCUGGAUGGACCUGCGGUGCAUUAGCUUGUUGGUGGGGUAACGGCCUACCAAGGCGAUGAUGCAUAGCCGAGUUGAGAGACUGAUCGGCCACAAUGGGACUGAGACACGGCCCAUACUCCUACGGGAGGCAGCAGUAGGGAAUCUUUCCACAGUGGGCGCAAGCUUGAUGGAGCAACACCGCGUGAGUGAAGAAGGUUUUCGGCUCGUAAAAGUUCUGUUGUUAAAGAAAAAACACGUAUGAGCAGCUACCUGUUCAUACGUUGACGGUAUUUAACCAGAAAGUCACGGCUUAACUACGUGCCCAGCAGCCG
rnacentral:rRNA from 2 species